AUGUUACUCCCUCCGACCGGUUUUACUUGUCUCAAAUUUGUCUAAAUACGAAUGUAUCUAUGUGUAAAAAACGUCUAGAUACAUGUACUAUUUCGACAAGUAAUUCUGGCUGGAGGGAGUACAUC
rnacentral:pre_miRNA from 1 species